rnacentral:rRNA from 1 species
GAGUUUGAUCCUGGCUCAGGAUGAACGCUGGCGGCGUGCCUAACACAUGCAAGUCGAACGGAGUUACGGUGAAACCUAGUGAUCUGUAACUUAGUGGCGGACGGGUGAGUAACGCGUGGGUAACCUGCCUUGUACUGGGGGAUAACACCUGGAAACAGGUGCUAAUACCGCAUAAGCGCACGGAGCCGCAUGGCUCAGUGUGAAAAACUCCGGUGGUACAAGAUGGACCCGCGUCUGAUUAGCCAGUUGGGGGGGUAACGGCCCACCAAAGCGACGAUCAGUAGCCGGCCUGAGAGGGUGAACGGCCACAUUGGGACUGAGACACGGCCCAAACUCCUACGGGAGGCAGCAGUGGGGAAUAUUGCACAAUGGGGGAAACCCCGAUGCAGCAACGCCGCGUGAGUGAAGAAGUAAUUCGUUAUGUAAAGCUCUAUCAGCAGGGAAGAAAAUGACGGUACCUGAGUAAGCAGCCCCGGCUAACUACGUGCCAGCAGCCGCGGUAAUACGUAGGGGGCAAGCGUUAUCCGGAUUUACUGGGUGUAAAGGGAGCGUAGACGGUUAUGCAAGUCUGAAGUGAAAUGCCAGUGUUCAACACUGGAACUGCUUUGGAAACUGUGUAACUGG